rnacentral:lncRNA from 1 species
AUGCCCUGCCAGGGCCCCACUGUGGCAACCCAGAAGCAGACGUUGGCCAAGCUCUGGAAGAGGCGGCCCUCCCACAGAACCUUCGGAGCGCACACAGCAGGUGUGGCAUAUUGCCAUCGGUCCUGUGGGGCAGAGAGAGGAAAAGUCGACCUUCAGGUUCUGGAAGCCCUGGUGGGACCCAGUGGCCAGCCUUGGGAGAGCACUCAGGCCGCACCACCCCCCAGGCUUGCUCCGAAGUUCUUGUCUGCCUUGGGCCAGAUCCUGACACCAACUAGCUGAGUCCCAGGUCACCUUCCCUCAGCUCCUGCAUCUGCACGCUCCCUGGGGAGAAGAACCCGGCUGUGCUCCACACCGACUGUGCGCCAUGCCCUCUACUGAGAAUUUUCCAUACACAAUACAAUUAUACACAGGCUCUAAGUCCUUCAGCAACAUCCCUCUGUGCUGCGUGCGCUUUUGACAGUCUGGGCAGGGCGUGGGGUGAGCAGUGACUUGGCGGAGAUGGGGGAAGAUGAGUGAGAGGGCAUCUGUUACUGAUUUGCCCAUAGGUCCCCUGGGCUCUUUACCUGGCUUGGGAAAUUCUCUUCCCCUGAGGCUGUCGAGCGAUUAAAGAGCAAGACACUUGCUUCCUCAGCUUCCCUAGCGGCCAAGUAUAGGCAUGUGACCUGGGAUCGGCCAAUCAGAUGCCCCUGCUCUGGUCUUGGAGUCAGGAUGGGGGAAGGGGAAUGACUCUAGGGAUGGGCAGUGGCUACAUCCUGUUUCUGGGGAACAGCCGCCUCUGUGGGGCCAAUAGCACAGUCCAGUGUUUGGAGUCCAGUUCAGACGUCAGCGGGGAGAAGAGAGUCAUCUAGGGUUCCGGGGGGCCCUUGGGUUCUCAAGAAGCAGCUCUGGGGUGUGGAUUUGUCAGCCUUCCCCACAGUGGAGUUCUCCAGCCCACUGUCGAUUCUACGACCUACCCAGGGUCCUGUCAGAACUUCCCUUUUGUGCUUAACUCAGCUAGACUGGCUUCCCAGGUGCUGCAGUGCUAAAUAAUCCACCUGCCAAUUCAGGAGCUUCAAGAGACAGCGGGUUCGAUCCCUGGGAUGGGAAGAUCCCCUGGAGGAGGAAAUGGCAACCCACUCCAGUAUUCUUGCCUGGAAAAUUCCAUGGACAGAGGAGCCUGGUGGGUAGCUGACAGCCAUGGGCUCUCAAAGAGUCUGACUCGACUGAGCAUGAGCACACACAGCUAGAACAAUCUUUUGUAGGUUGCAGCUACAGGAAGGGCAUAGGGCAUGGUUGGCUCCCAAGCCAUCCCACUGGGACAGGAGACCUGGGCGUCUCUGCCCCUCCUGACAGUGACCAUGGCCAUGGCAUGUUCCCGACCUGGGUGGUCACUCAG